rnacentral:rRNA from 1 species
GACGAACGCUGGCGGCGUGCUUAACACAUGCAAGUCGAACGGACAGGCCCUGCUUUUGUGGGGUGCUCGAGUGGCGAACGGGUGAGUAACACGUGAGUAACCUGCCCUUGACUUUGGGAUAACUUCAGGAAACUGGGGCUAAUACCGGAUAGGAGCUCCUGCUGCAUGGUGGGGGUUGGAAAGUUUCGGCGGUUGGGGAUGGACUCGCGGCUUAUCAGCUUGUUGGUGGGGUAGUGGCUUACCAAGGCUUUGACGGGUAGCCGGCCUGAGAGGGUGACCGGCCACAUUGGGACUGAGAUACGGCGCAGACUCCUACGGGAGGCAGCAGGGGGGAAUAUUGCACAAUGGGCGGAAGCCUGAUGCAGCAACGCCGCGUGCGGGAUGACGGCCUUCGGGUUGUAAACCGCUUUCGCCGGUGACGAAGCGUGAGUGACGGUAAUGGGUAAAGAAGCAACGGCUAACUACGUG